UCGGUGUUUGCAGAGGAACGCUCAACAAUGAUUGAAAGACAUGUGCAAGCAACUGACGGCGGUAAAUAGAGUUUCCGUGUGGGAAAUAGUUUUAAAAAGGUUUUUGAAUGGUUUUUCAUGAUGAAUGAAUUAGAGUUCAAAAAUAAAAGCUUCCGUGUGGGGAGCACUUUUAAAUAGGAUGAUUGUUGUACUGUACAUUGUAUCAUCCAGCGCCUAAGGAGUACUUAGAGGCAUGCAUCAUCUCUAAGGAUUGUUAGCUGUAUGAAAAUGCAUAACAUUAAUUGGUUGUUGAUUGGUAAUUGUAGGUUGUGGUUGUGAUCCUGUUGUAUAGUUGGUACGCAGUGCAAAUACAAAGAAAAUUCUGUCCGAGUGGACAGAUGAACUUUGUAUUUGUGGCCGGUCUGUACGUCACAUGGGCCAGGUUGGAAAAAAAAAAAGGGUACAUCUUCCGCGACUCUGAGUUUUCAAAAUGGUAAUGAAUUUUCAAAAUGGCUUUGAAAAUCGGCCCCAGGGCGUGACAGAUUAAGAUGGUAUAUAUAUAUAUAUAUAUAUAUAUAUAUAAAGUCCGGCUACUAUACUUUUAUGAGUAUUGGCUCCUUUAUACUCAUAAGUUUUCGACCCUUAGAUUUAUUCCAUUAAUUAUUUUCAUCCGUUAGAUCAUACUAUUUAACCAACUACCCACUCAACCCUAGGGGACCACUAUCAUUCUAAAUGGGGACCACCAUCAUCCUAACCACACAUCGCAUCAAUCAACGGUUAAAAAUUUAUGAGUAUAAGGGGGUCUAUACUCAUAAGAGUAUAGUAGCCCCAGACCAUAUAUAUAU
rnacentral:lncRNA from 1 species